GGUGUUCAGUUUAGGUGCAGUUGCCUUAAUGUGUUGUUUCAUUUCAUUCAAAAUUCAAAUUAUUGUAAAACUUCUUAACAUGUACUUAUUUACGACAAGCGGGCGACAUUUGUAUUGUGACAGUUGUUGCAUUUAAUAGAGGAGGAACUGUUAUCCAAGACUUAUUUGAGUAAACGCCCAUUCGAGGAAAUUAUUUAUACGUCAAAAUAAUGUAACAAAAACAACCACUGGAAAGUUAUGUAUCAGCAAUAAAAUAAAAAAAACAAUAAGAUUGUGAUGUGUCUAUUGCACAGCUCCGCGCAAUAAAGAUCAUAAAAUUCAAAUCGGUCUGCAAUAACAUUGUGCACGAAAUUAGACCUGCCUUACCCUGCACCAACACGGACGCUUUUACAUACGUUUACGUGAGUCAUAAGUAUGUAAACAGGUAAAGCUUAAUUCCUUCAGUAUGAUAUGUUCGUUACCAGACUAAUUGUCUACUCACAUACGUGAGGGUCUUGGACAAUGUUUACGAUGCGGAAAAUAUGUGCGCAGACGACGUUAAUUCGUUUUACCCUAUAAAUGCGCCUGAUAUUCUGAAUAAAAUUAACUAGUUAAUUUUGCUUCUCACGGUGAGAUACAUAAAUUAAUAAUAAAAUCGAUCAAACGCACGAGUGUUUUAAAUAAACCAUGGAGGUUAAAUUUCGAAAUGUGUUGUUGUUGGCCGUACUAGUGUUGAUGACUGCAGCUCGAAGCAUAAAUUCUUGUUCGUGCCAUGUUUCUGAACGUGUGCACAACGGGUCAGGUCCAGAUGAACCGCUAUUUUGUUGGCAAACACGUUUCAAACGGCAUAAAUAAGAUGACGUAUGAAAUUAAGUGGUUUAUCAGAGACUUCAUUGAAAAGGCAAUGAUGCAAAACAACGGGGCUGUCAUUUCUGGAAGUGUCACAGAUGUCAUGCAUGAUGUAGAAGUAGGAAGUGAUGUACGCGUAUUAUAUGAUGGUUAUGCGGCCACCAUGAACAGUGUACAUAUUGGCGCUAACAAGGAUCUGGUCGUAGGACAAGCUGUCUGGCACGUCAGCCAAACUGCUGUGCCACCUAACAUCGAGUUCCAAGGCAACGACUAUUGGUCGUUCACCAAUUGGGCCACUGACUUCACCUUGACCGCCUCCCGUUGGCAGAUAGGCGACCAUAUCAGUCGCGGAGAGUCACGGGAAGUACGUGGGUUGACAUGGUAAAGAGGUUUGCAAUUAAGCAUUUUAUCCCGCCUUUGCUGCAAACAUUGGCCAAAUAAGACAGGGUCGAAUAAAUUUUCAAAUCUACGGUCAACAGGAUGUAGUGUAUUCCUACGCACGCUGUGACGAUUAACAUGUUCUAAUAUUUGACCUUUGAAAUUUAUUGGGACACAUCAUGAAUGUUAUCGUUAUAUUAUAUAUCAUCCUUUUUUUCUUCUUUAAAAUAUAUUACCGAACCAGCUUUCCGUAUUUAUCAUUUUCAUUUAUACAUGAUUACGCAAUUUAUGUCGUAUCCAGUGUGACGUCAUUUCUCAGACGAAACAUAGUAGUUUCUCUCAUGAUUUUAGGGACAACAAUUUUGACAUGGUGGUUUAUACAUAUUUUUUUUUUAUUUUAAAAGCAUUUAACAAAUCAUACACGUAUUUCGGAUUGUGCGUUUGUCAUUCAUAAUUGUUAAUUUCGAUAGGAAUAUAAUAAUUCGCUACGGCAGGAUUUCGAUUUCGUAAAUCGGGUUUUGGGGCAUGGUGGUUAGUAUUUGAUACAAAUGCUAUCAAAAAUAGUGUGGUUUAAAAUACAUUUCGAUAAAAGAGAUGGAAAAACAGAAAAUGGAUUUCGACAAAGGGAUGUAAGAACAGAAAAUGGAUGUGUAUAUCGUUGUACAUUUAUUGUUAUAAGCGAUGGAUUAAAGUCGACAUUAAGGUUCACAGACAAGUGCUGGAUGCUUGCGUACCAACAUGACGCUUCCGGAAAAGUGGUGCAGGGGUCACUUGAUUUGCAUCGGUCGGCUGUAUUACAAGGACACCGCGUCAAGGUAAUGUUCGACUCCAUAACCGCCGAACCAGAUGAGGUGUCCAUACAAGGUGGUCACGUGAGCUCCGUCUUGAUUAAUAUGGUGGCAAAGAGCUCUAACGACAUCCGGACAUUCUACGCAAGCGGAAUAUGGGACUGGAGAAUAUUGACCACGACGGGAACAGAGACAACACUUCAGGUAAAUGUUUGCGAAUACGUCGAACAUGGUCGAACAACCGAAAAGAAAGCUGUAACUGGUUUAUCGACACACGUCCGUAGGUUGAGGUCAUGGUAAACAACAAGAAUGGAAGUGUCUUGUCUGGAAGCAAAGCGGCACUUCUCAGCGCGGUGCAGUCGGGGGCAAGGGUGCGCUAUGUUCUCAGCUUUGACCCAUCGACCUCCGAUGUAAGUGUACACGAGGCAGAUAAUCUUGCGGUGAGCGGAAGCGAGGUCAGCGCCGUUCACAUUCGCUCCGUUAGUCUAUCAAGUCUUCCAACGGAAGUUAAGUUCACGCCCGAGCCCUAUUGGUGGUUUACACAGUCUACGACAACCGGAAAUGUGGACAUGUCCCGUUGGACGGUUGGGGAACGCGAGGACCGCGGUCACUCAAGUAACACGGCUCAGACCACAUGGUUCGUAAACCACUGAGAGAACGUUGAAUCGAGCGACAUGUCUGAACCUCGUCUUAUACAAUGAUUUAAAAAAACUGGGUUCAACAUAAUUAUACCGUAAUUACUUACACGACAUUUGCGGACGUUAGUUUUUCAUUUUAGAUUAAUAUAUAUGAGCUGAAUAUACGAAACUUAAUUAACUAUUAGAACUGUAUUACAACACUGUUCAUUACCUAUAAACCGAGGGACCGAUUUACGUUAAGGGCCUAUAGUUGAUAUGAUGCAAGUAUACCGUCUUUAGCCUUAUGUACUCUAUAUAAUCCAGCAAUAUAUACAUGUAAAGCUCAAAAUAUUAUGUUGAUAUACGUACUCAUUCUUUCUUAGCAUCUUAGAACUUGGCUUGAAAUUAUUGUUCAAACUAAUUUAAAACGUGUUUGCCUUUUUGUCCAAGUAAUUUAUUUUGCAACUUAGUUGUUGUUCUCCAAUUUAUGUCUAAGUAUUAUUGCGUUUUUCUGUUGUUGUUUUUUCGUUAAGUGUUAGGACUUAAAUCAUAUUCGUAUAAGUUGCAUUUUAUUAACAAGAUUAUAGCAGAUAAAACACUCAGCAUAAUAUGAAAGAUGAACAAUUGUUGUUUGUGCAUUUUUUUCCUUUAUAUAUCCUGACUUUUUAUGAAUA